rnacentral:rRNA from 1 species
CUUAGCAGAGAUGCUUUGGUGCCUUCGGGAACGUCUGAGACAGGUGCUGCAUGGCUGUCGUCAGCUCGUGUUGUGAAAUGUUGGGUUAAGUCCCGCAACGAGCGCAACCCUUAUCCUUUGUUGCCAGCGGUUAGGCCGGGAACUCAAAGGAGACUGCCAGUGAUAAACUGGAGGAAGGUGGGGAUGACGUCAAGUCAUCAUGGCCCUUACGAGUAGGGCUACACACGUGCUACAAUGGCGCAUACAAGAGAAGCGACCUCGCGAGAGCAAGCGGACCUCAUAAAGUGCGUCGUAGUCCGGAUUGGAGUCUGCAACUCGACUCCAUGAAGUCGGAAUCGCUAGUAAUCGUGGAUCAGAAUGCCACGGUGAAUACGUUCCCGGGCCUUGUACACACCGCCCGUCACACCAUGGGAGUGGGUUGCAAAAGAAGUAGGUAGCUUAACCUUCGGGAGGGCGCUUACCACUUUGUGAUUCAUGACUGGGGUGAAGUCGUAACAAGGUAAGCGUAGUGCU